CUUGUACCACUGUGACACAUGCAAUAAGUUAAAAAAAAAAAAUUAAAGGCAAGAAUUCAAAUUUGCACAAAUGCAAACAAGUUAGAAUAACGUGAAGUAAUGAAAAGAGAGUAUGCCUUUUGUCUCUCCUUAAUAUUGAUGUUGUAUACUGCACAAAUACAGGUAUGUAUUCUUGUGUCUCCAAACAGAGUAAAAUUCUGCAAGACUUCUCUUUAACACUACAAAAAACAGACAAUGAAAAAUGCUAUUUGUUCCGUGUGAGAUUCAGAUACAACGAUAUUUGUUCUGGAAGCAACUGGAGUGAAUGGAGCCCUCAGAUCACUUGGAGAAAUGGAUCUGUUAUAGAUUCCUGUCUUGUAUAUAAUUAUAAUCUGAAAUGGUAUUUUUCUCCACUUAUAAUUUUAAUUCCUGCAGUCCUACUGUACUGUAUCUUUAAAGUAAAACGGUAAGUUGCUAUGACUAUAC
rnacentral:lncRNA from 1 species